rnacentral:rRNA from 1 species
CCCUACUGCUAUCGGGGUGGGACUAAGACAUGCUAGUCGAGCGCCUUGAGCUAUGGCGAGGCGCGGCGUACAGCUCAGUAACACGUGGCUAACCUACCCUUAGGACGGAGACAACCCCGGGAAACUGGGGCUAAUAUCUGAUAGGUGAGGAGGCCUGGAAUGGUUCUUCGCUGAAAAGGCGUUGAAACCAUGCUUUUCAGCGUCGCCUAAGGAUGGGGCCGCGUCCGAUCAGGUUGUUGGUGGGGUAACGGCUCACCAAGCCUAUAACCGGUACGGGCCGUGAGAGCGGGAGCCCGGAGAUGGGCACUGAGACAAGGGCCCAGGCCCUACGGGGCGCAGCAGUCGCGAAAACUCCGCAAUGCGCGAAAGCGUGACGGGGCUACCCCGAGUGCCGUCCGCUGAGGAUGGCUUUUCCCCGGUGUAAUGAGCCGGGGGAAUAAGGAGAGGGCAAGUCUGGUGUCAGCCGCCGCGGUAAUACCAGCUCUCCGAGUGGUAGGGACGAUUAUUGGGCUUAAAGCGUCCGUAGCCGGCUUAGCAAGUCUUCUGUUAAAUUCAGCGACCUAAUCGUUGAGCCGCGGGAGAUACUACUAGGCUAGGAGGCGGGAGAGGCCGACGGUAUUCUCGGGGUAGGGGUGAAAUCCUAUAAUCCCGGGAGGACCACCAGUGGCGAAGGCUGUCGGCUAGAACGCGCUCGACGGUGAGGGACGAAACCCUGGGGAGCGAUCCGGAUUAGAUACCCGGGUAGUCCAGGGCGUAAACGAUGUGGGCUGGGUGUGGGCUAAUCAGAAGGAUUAGUCUGUGCCGAAGCGAAAGCGAUAAGCCCACCGCCUGGGGAGUACGGUCGCAAGGCUGAAAUACAGUAGGUCAUUGCCUACUGGACGGUAAACUUAAAGGAAUUGGCGGGGGGGCACCACAAGGGGUGGAGCCUGCGGUCU